rnacentral:misc_RNA from 1 species
GAUGGAGAACGUAGUGAAAUGCGAUACGUAAUGUGAAUUGCAGAAUUCAGUGAAUCAUCGAAUCUUUGAACGCACAUUGCGCCUGCCAGCACUCUGGCAGGCAUGCCUGUUCGAGCGUCAUUUCAACCAUCAAGCCCUAGGCUUGCGUUGGAGCCCUGCGGCUGCCGCAGGCCCCUAAAAGCAGUGGCGGGCUCGCUAUCACACCGAGUGCAGUAGAUUACUCUUCGCUCAGGGCGUGUGGCGGGUUCCAGCCGUGAAACCCCCUACUUCUCAAGGUUGACCUCGGAUCAGGUAGGAAUACCCGCUGAACUUAAGCAUAUCAAUAAGCGGAGGA